GCAGUACCCAUCUCAAUCCAUUUGGAAUCCAUUGUUAACAAGGCACUCAAAAAUCCAAUGUCUCUCCCGAAGAUUUCUCUUGCUAAUCUUGGAGGAAGAGGCAGUCUUAUGAUCUCAUUCCAAGCCUAGAGAAGAAUGAGCCCUGGCCUGAAGUUAGGGAGACUGCUUGGCUCUGAACUGAAAACAUUAGCCACUCACAGACCUGCGUAAGAAUUGGG